AUGGAGCUAAGCAAUGCAUUACACAAGCUGUUGUUGAUGUUUUCUCACGUGGUGAUGAGAUGCAGGGGCAGGGGGAGGUUUCUCUUCUAUUACUUCCAGUUUACAAAAUAUCUUUUCAGGUACAAGCCUGACAAAUUGCUUGCCAGCGACGGCUUCGCGGACCAGCUGCCGGAGAUCGCCGAGGCCACCAGGGGCAAGGAAACCGUCGUCUUCCAGUGCGCCUUCAGCCAGGAUACAGUCAUUCUGAUACUCGAUGCGUUGUACCGUGGUCGCGACUAUGCUAGGUUCUUUGUGCUCGAGACCAUCGCCAGAGUGUUGUAUUUCGGAACUGCACCUAACAUAAGCCACAAACAGGCACUCCUAGAGGUGUCAAGUACUUUGGCGAGCUGGAGAAAUGUUACUUCUAGGGCAAUGAAGUGA
rnacentral:rRNA from 1 species